rnacentral:rRNA from 1 species
UGGGGAAUAUUGCGCAAUGGGGGAAACCCUGACGCAGCGACGCCGUGUGAGGGAAGAAGGCUUUCGGGUCGUAAACCUCUGUCGGGAAGGAAGAACCCCGUCGGGUCCCAAUAGGGCUCGAGGCUGACGGUACUUCCAAAGGAAGCACCGGCUAACUCCGUGCCAGCAGCCGCGGUAAUACGGAGGUGCAAGCGUUAAUCGGAAUCACUGGGCGUAAAGCGCGCGUAGGCGGCCUUUUAAGUCGGACGUGAAAGCCCUCGGCUCAACCGGGGAAUUGCGUUCGAUACUGGGAGGCUUGAGUCCUGGAGAGGGUGGCGGAAUUCCGGGGUGUAGGAGUGAAAUCCGUAGAUAUCCGGAGGAACACCGGUGGCGAAGGCGGCCACCUGGACCAGGUACCGGACG